UGAGGUUGGUCAAUAAACUCUAUGCAUUUAAACAUGUUCGGAAACAAAAUUAAAUUUAUGCUCCGAAUUCACAAUGCACUAAAAACUAACUAAAUAGAAGCUAUGCAUUAUUUUUACUAACACAAUAAUAUUAUAAAAAUCAACACCGUUACUGUAAUUGAAAAAAUAAAUAAAUAAUAAAAAAAACCUAAAUAUAACUAUAAA
rnacentral:lncRNA from 1 species